AACAUCAUGAAGUUCGAAGCCAUUAUUGUUGGUCUUAUUGCCUUAGUCGGUUACUCGCAAGCCAGAAGAACUGGAUGGGGAAGCUAUCCUCGUCCAUCGUCAUCCUCAACUUAGGUUGGAAGCUACAAAUGACUAUCAAAAGAUUUGGGAUGGAAUUAUGAGUUGCUUUAUGAAAUUUUUCAAUAAAAAUUAAGAUUUUGGAAAAAAAAAAA
rnacentral:sRNA from 1 species